ACGAACGCUGGCGGCAUGCCUAACACAUGCAAGUCGAACGAGACCUUCGGGUCUAGUGGCGCCCGGGUGCGUAACGCGUGGGAACCUGCCCUUAGGUUCGGAAUAACUCCCCGAAAGGGGUGCUAAUACCGGAUAAUGUCUUCGGACCAAAGAUUUAUCGCUUUUGGAUGGGCCCGCGUUGGAUUAGCUAGUUGGUAGGGUAAAAGCCUACCAAGGCGACGAUCCAUAGCUGGUCUGAGAGGAUGAUCAGCCACACUGGGACUGAGACACGGCCCAGACUCCUACGGGAGGCAGCAGUGGGGAAUAUUGGACAAUGGGCGAAAGCCUGAUCCAGCAAUGCCGCGUGAGUGAUGAAGGCCUUAGGGUUGUAAAGCUCUUUUACCCGGGAUGAUAAUGACAGUACCGGGAGAAUAAGCUCCGGCUAACUCCGUG
rnacentral:rRNA from 1 species